UUCUUGGAGAGUUUGAUCCUGGCUCAGGACGAACGCUGGCGGCGUGCCUAAUACAUGCAAGUCGAGCGAAAGUUUCAAAAGCUUGCUUUUGAAACUUUAGCGGCGGACGGGUGAGUAACACGUGGGCAACCUGCCUGUAAGACUGGGAUAACUCCGGGAAACCGGGGCUAAUACCGGAUAAUCCUUUUCCCUGCAU
rnacentral:rRNA from 1 species